AGAGCGACGUAGUACUUGCGCCCGUUCAUCCACCUGCAAAGAUCUGAGCACAGGAAAACAGCGUCAGCGUUCCGCCCGCUACAGCGGCCUGCUGAGACAAGCGCCCACAAACAGAUAUUUCAAGGCAAGCCCAUCGAAGGAAAUCACCGCUGUGCCCUCCACGUGUGGUUUCACUGCCUUGCGGACGAUGGCGUUGGCAAAAGCUUCUUCGAAGAGGACAUGUGUGCGUGUUCGAUCGAAUCAUUAUAUCUUAUUUUUCUCUCUUG